rnacentral:miRNA from 1 species
UUCCUUCUGGUCAACAAAGAUGUACAUUCUAGAAGACAGGAAAGAAUCACUUCCAGUCAUUGAUACCUGCCUCCCUCCUAGUCCCACAGGCUGGGAGGGAUUCCCUGGGGUCAUCGAGAUUGUACAGUCUUGAUGACCGGAAGGAA